rnacentral:rRNA from 1 species
UACGUAGGGUCAGAGCGUUGUCCGGAAUCAUUGGGCGUAAAGAGCGUGUAGGCGGCCAGAUAAGUCCGCUGUGAAAUCUCGAGGCUCAACUUCGAGCUGUCGGUGGAAACUGUCUGGCUAGAGUCCGGAAGAGGAGAAUGGAAUUCCUGGUGUAGCGGUGAAAUGCGCAGAUAUCAGGAAGAACACCCGUGGCGAAGGCGGUUCUCUGGGACGGUACUGACGCUGGGACGCGAAAGCGUGGGGAGCGAACAGG